rnacentral:rRNA from 1 species
AACGUAGGAGACAAACGUUAUCCGGAUUUACUGGGCGUAAAGGGCGUGCAGGUGGUCUGUUAAGUCUGGCGUGAAAGCUCCUGGCUAAACCGGGAGAGGUCGUUGGAUACUGGCGGACUAGAGGACGGUAGAGGCGUGUGGAAUUCCGGGUGUAGUGGUGAAAUGCGUAGAUAUCGAGAGGAACACCAGUGGCGAAGGCGAGUCCCUGGACGACUCCUGACACUGAGGCACGAAAGCUAGGGGAGCAAACAGG